rnacentral:rRNA from 1 species
CGGACGGGUGAGUAAUGCUUGGGAAUAUGCCUUAUGGUGGGGGACAACAGUUGGAAACGACUGCUAAUACCGCAUAACGUCUACGGACCAAAGGGGGGGAUCUUCGGACCUCCCGCCAUUUGAUUAGCCCAAGUGAGAUUAGCUAGUUGGUGAGGUAAUGGCUCACCAAGGCGACGAUCUCUAGCUGAUUUGAGAGGAUGAUCAGCCACACUGGGACUGAGACACGGCCCAG